UUGAUUAAGACGUGAUAAGAUUUUGUAUAAAAGGAGUUUGCAUGCCGCAUUAAUACCAUUAUUCAGUUUCCUCUAUGAACUCAAAAUGCGGUGUACACUGAUUGUUUGCGUCUUCAUACUUGCUCUGAUUGGAAGUGCGUGUGUUCCGAGUGUCGAAGGCAGACUAUCACCGUGUGAUUGCCGGUACCGAUGCCGAAGGGAGGAAUGUUACGUCCGUAGGUGUGGAGAUUUGGGUUUGAAAAAAUUAUGCUGCCGUCGUAGAGGGGGACGCUGCCGCGGCUGAACACCUGUAUGUGAGCAUCUCCUGCAAGACUUUCUUCAAGGAUGAUGUGCUAUAAAUACUGUUAAAACAGUUCAAAUGACACAAUAAUAUCAUUCCCUGUAUACUGUAUUUUUAUAUAAUAAACCUAUAAUAAUCUCAUUUAUUAAACUUUUUUUGGAUCAAAAUGCAUUCAGCAUGCAAGAGGUCCCUUCCUAUUAGCGCAUUCGAUUAUGAAUCGACAGUAAGAGCUGGCCCAUUCCUACCCGAGCAUUCGGUCAUGAACCGGCAGUUAGACUUAGCUAGCCCAUUUCUAAUGAUAAUUGAAUAUAUUUUUUUUAAAUAAGAUGUAAGACAACUGUUCCAGGUGAACUUGUAUUAUUCAAAUAAAACAUGUCAACUUUUGAUGUUAACAGCGAUGACGUUAUUAGUUUUUUUAACUGCUUUUGGAAUAAUUUUGGUUGUGUGUGAAGACAAAAAAGUGCAAAGAGUAUAACGAAUAAAAUUAAUUCAUGUAUGUUUUUGUACCCUUGAACGAUUGCGAAAUAUGUCAAUUCACUCCCGAUUACAAUUAAACUAAAAAGCAAGAAGAAAGAACGUUUUCGGUGUAUAAUUUUAAGUUUUUCAAAAAACAAUCAUCAAAAAAAUACUUUUUAAAUGAUACAACCAUUAUAUGAGGUUAACGGCAAUAUACACUUUAAAUGAAUGCCGCCGACGUAUUGAUAAAAUGACAAGCGUAACAACAACAACAACAACAACAACAACACCAACAACAACGUUUAUUGCAUAGGCGAUUAUAAAUCGCAACAUAGGCUUCAAUCAAUAAUAAUCGCAUGUGGACACUUUAGCUUAAUUGAGUUUCAAGCGGUUGUUGUUGCCUGCUAAUUUCGAAUGAUAAAUGACUUUGUUAACAUAAAAUAAAUAAGAAAACAGACAAAUCGUGUUUGGUUUUAAAUGUAGAUCGUUAACUAUGCAUCCGUACCAUACUGUAACGUCGCGAACGUCGUAAAGUUAAUUGUAUAUCGUUCGUACGUGAAUUUGAGCAAGAGAACCGUUCAAUUACCAUUGGUCGCCCUUUUGAAUCUCUACGAAAUUAUGUUGUGUUAAACAAAAUAUAAUAAAUAAAUGACGUUACUCCCUUGAAUCAUAUCAAAACUAAUAUUUAUGAGAAUUCGAAUAAGUUAGUUUAAACGUUAUAUAUUUUACAACGAUUGUGAAGAAAGUUACGAUAACUUCUACUUAGUCACUCUCGUUGGCACGAUGUUGCGCGAGAGAGUGGUCUUGCUUUGUAAGGGAAACCGGAAUGCCCGGGGAAAACCCACUUGUCUGGCUUGGUGACCACAAACCAACUCGCAUGCGCCUAGGCCGGGAAUCGAACCGGGUCGCCUCGGUAAGAAGCGAGUGCGCAAACCACUGUGCUAACUGGAUCAGAGUUCCAUUAGUCCGCAGUUUGGAUAAAAAAUAUUUGCGGUAUAAAAACUGUACAUCCAAUCUGGCUAAAAAGACAAUUUCAUUGAAAAUGAGUAUUUUUGCUAAGUUUUAAAAAUGAUAAUGUGUUAGAUAGAAAAAAAUGCUAGAGGAUUAAGGUGAUUGCUGCUUAACCUCCCGUUCUCCCACUUAUAGUUUACCAAACAAACCUAUUCAGUAUAAUUAAUAGAAUAUACGUGGGGUCCCGAAUCCUGACAGCGCGCUUGACCACUACAUGUUUGGGAUCCCAGUCGAGCACUCUCCAUGAUACGCCCCAUUCCCUGAAAUACGGAAUCCUCUCCAGGAUACGCCCAAAUCCCUAAAAUACAGAAUCCGUUCCGGAAAACAAUUUGCAAAAUACAAUCACAAGUUUCUAUGCAAAAUUAUUUAACAGUUUUUGGUAACCAAGAUUUGUAUCCAAUCCUUGAAUAGCUUCAAUUUUUAUCGUCGAAAUAGUUAUGUUUUAUUUAGGUUUCAGUCUGAUUUAACACCUUAGUCUCUCAUUCGGAACUCCUCGGCCAUCUAAAACAACCUCAAAUGUAGGCCGGUACAUCAGUAGAAGUAGUUCGUAAAGGUAUUAAUGAACUGUUGUGUUUAAUCGUGUAUUUUGUAUCUCUAAGUUCAAAAUGACUGCCAAUGGUGUGAAUUAUUGCACCAAUAAUUAAGAUUCCCAAGAAUAAAGUCAUAGAGUGCAACUGCUUAAUUUAAAUUACUACGAGAUUUUCUUGCAGCGUAGUUUAAAUGUAAAUAUUUCUGAUACUGUAAAUCGUCCAUAAACAUCCAAGGUUGUUUUCGAGGAAAAACGGCCGAGGAGUUCCGAAUGCUGAAUCUCUAAUUUUGCCGAGCAGAACUUUUAUCUAAAAGAUUUAUACAAAAAUAAACCGCAUCAAAAACAACUGGUUAGGCCUUUAUUUUGAUCUCAUUCCAUUAAGAAGUUCGAUGUUUGAUGUUUGCCCAGACGAGCUUUGGUUGUAAAGUGAUAGACAAGAACGCUGGAUUUAGACGUGAUAAGAUAUCGUAUAAAAGGAGUUUGCGAAGGUCGCAUUAAUACCAUUAUUCAGUUUCGUCUAAGAACUCAAAAUGCGAUGUAAACUGAUUGUUUACUUCUUUAUACUUGCUCUGAUUGGAAGUGCGUGUGUUCCGAGAGUCGAAGCAUGUGAAUGUCGGUUAAUCCGAUGCCGAAGAGGGGAAUGUUAUAUUCGUAGGUGUGUGUUCUUGCGACUGGGACGAUUAUGCUGCCGUCGUAGGGGUGGACGCUGCAGUGGCUGAAGUCCUGCAUGUAAGCAUCUCCGGCUGGACUUUUUUCAAGGAUGAUGUGCUGUAACUAUUGUUAAAACAGUUCAAAUGACAUACUAAUAUAAUUCCCUGUAUACUGUAUUUUUUAUAUAAUAAACCUUUAAUAAUCUCA